UAUGGUUCUAUGGUUGUAUGAUUCUACUAUUCUAUGAUUUUGAGUAUUUUCUGACAUUCAUCAUGUCAGAUUUCAAAGUAAGAGUGGAUAAGAGUGCAAGUAUCACAGAUUUUCUGACAGAGACAAUAUUCAGCCCAGUGAUAAAUCAAAGGUGACAAAGUAAAAGUGAACAAGUGGGACUCCAGGGAGAGGG